ACAGAAUGGAAAAAUUACAUGGCAGUAUAUAUUCAAGAUAUUACUACUAUAUAGAAGAGCUAAGCAAGGGAUGAUCAAGCGUAAAAAUGUAAUUUUACUCAAAUAAAAAUCUAUCUUCCACAUAUUCGCUCAAUGCUCGCUUCUUUAACUUUUCAGAAUUCCAGAACAAUCAGUUCCUUCCAAUAUAGAGUGACUCUCAAGUUUUUCUUAAUGCAACAACAAUCAGUUCUUUGCUAAUUGGUACAUGAGAUGUUCUACCAUGCAUUUAAUGGAUACAUGGACCACGCCUUUCCACGUGAUGAGUUAAGGCCUUAAUUUUGUGGAGGAGAAGACACACUUGGUGGCUAUGCCUUAACAUUGAUUGACUCAUUGGACACAUUGGUGAUGCCUGGUGACAGAGAGCACUUUACUUCUUCAGUUGAAUGGAUUGGUAAAAAACUUCGAUUUGAUAUGUUCAGAGACACGAGCUCCAGAGCAACAGUAGAUUCCAGAUAUCUGCAGACAGAUUUAGAAGCUUGUAUUUGGGGGUACCUCUGGAUGAACGAUAAUAGCACUAAGGAAUUCAUUGGGAAGAUAUUUAUAGCAGUUGUGUCAUUUAAAGCUGCAUUAGGCUUUUUGCUGUAUGGAGAAAGGUUAUUUUCAAAUUUAAAGGGAGAAGAAAGAAGCUUCAUGAGCUCCCAUAAAAGAUGCAAAUGCAAUGAUCAGGGGAGGAGAUAUAAAUUCUGAUGAUAACUGGGUUCAUGGUCGUACAAUUGGUCAAACUUCUGAUGAAAAAAAUCCUGGUCCUCCAACUAAACAUGCCAUUGACUUGAUCCGAGCGUUUGAUAACUACCUCAAAUGUAAUUUCAAAAGUUCGGGUUCCGACAAGCUCAUGCACAAAGCCAGAGUUGGAGAAUGAAGAAGAUAAUGCAGAAGACUUACCGGAAUCUACUCAACCAAAUAGGAAUGCGUCUCUUUCAAAUGCUGCAGAGUUGGAGAAGGAUUUACUUUACGAAGCAAGUAAUAGAUUGAGAAUGUCCGAGAAUGGGUAGAGCUCCCAUAAAACAUACAAAUGCAAUGGUCAGGUUAGAAGACAUAAUUUCUGAUGAUAACUGGGGUCAUGGUCGUAUAAUUGGUCAAACUUCUGAUGAAAAUCCUGGUCUUCCAACUAAACAUGCCAUUGACUUGAUCGGAGCAUUUGAUAACUACCUCAAAUGUAAUUUCAAACGUUCGGGUUCCGAUAACCAUUGUUCACUUAAUUACUGGUUGACUUUACAUUAUUAGAGAAGAGAUGGCUAAGAUCUAUCAAAUUGCAAGUGUAUUAUAUGAUGUGCUGAGGAUAGUGGUACCCUCUUCAAAAGUAGAUGAUUAAUGAUAUGAAGACGAGGACAGCAGUAAUGCAACAUAGCUUCAGAGAACAAAACUGGGUGGUAGAUACACUAGCAAAGAAUGGAGCAACCCUAGAAAUUUUUGACUAAGUGUAGAUUUUUAUAGUUCCACAUAUGUGCGUCUCUUAGGCUAUUUGGGUAGACAUUGCGGAAACUAGUUAUAAUAGGAUGAUUUCUUGUAAUCAAAAUAAUAUUAGGCAAAAUUCCUCUAUUUUUUAAUUGAGCCAGACUAAGGCUCAAGACUCAUUUGAUGUACAAAUAUUAUUUAUUUUAAUUUAAGUAGUCUAUUUAAUUAAAAAAGCACAUAUAUUGCAACCAA